rnacentral:lncRNA from 1 species
UUUUCUUUUUCCUAAUGGAUUUUGAAGAUGUGGUUUGCUUUUUCUAUUUAGAAUAGUCAUACUUAUAAAGUCCACCUAGGCUGGCCUAUAACUGGCAAUUCUCUCUCAGUCUGGUAUUAUAGAUAUGCAAAGUUAAGCAUUAAACAACAAAAAUUAUGUAGAGAUCUUCUCUCAAAAACACUAAGAAAAUCAUAACUUCUGAGUAGUUAUGAUUUUGAGAUUCCUCCCUAUACAUUUUUAUAUGUGAUUCCUCAUAUUAAUUUUAUAUGUAUUAUACACAAAAUACAUUCAAGUACUUUUAUCUAUAGAUGAAUAAAUAUAAAUAAAAACCUUAAUAAUUUGCCAUAAAUAAACUACAAGACGACUUUUAUUGGGUCCUGAAGAGAUAUAGGAGUUAAGAGCACUGGCUGCUCUCACAGAGAACCCUCGUUCAAUUUCCAGUGCCCAUAUGGUGAUUGACCACCAUCUAUCAUGCCAGUUUCCAAGGAUCCAGGGCCCUCUUCUAACCAUUGUAAGCACCAAGCAUGGGAGUGCUAUACAUACAUACAUACAUACAUACAUACAUACAUACAGGGAAAAUACAAAGGUAAAAAUGAAUAAAUCUAAUAAAAAGAGACUUCUGUGUAUGAACAAAAAAAAAUUCCUAAGAAGCAGCUGUAUGUGACUGUGAGUAAAAACCUGGAAGUGGUGGCGCAUGCCUUUAAUCCCAGUGCUUGGGAGGCAGAGGCAGGAGGAUUUCUGAGUUCAGGGCCGGCCUAAUCUCCAGAGUGAGUUCCAGGAUAGCCAGGGCUAGCUACACAGAGAAACUCUCUUUCGAAAAACAAAACAAAGGCAAUGAACAAAAGGAAGAUGAAAGAAGGAAUCCUGGAAGGAUUCUCUGUCUUCAGAGGCUGAUGAAAUCAUAGUCCUGUGGAGAGAUUGGGAUUUUGUGGAUUCAGAAGAAAAUUCCUGUAUCUUGGGCUAGUUUUAGGACAGCCAUUCAUUCUUUGUCCCACUCACUCUGUAUGUGAACUAAUGCCUCAUGAUAAUACAUAAAAUCCCCUUAAAAGCUAUUAACUUAGCAGACCACUAGCUUCCACCUACUCAAGAGCUAAGAAUGUCACCAGGUAGCAUCUUGGAGCUACAGAAUAGAGUAGCUUUCCCCAUCAAGUUGCACCCACCUCUCCCAUGUGUCCACCAAUGUCUUUUAAAAUUGCCCUGAUUUAUGAUUUUGUUUGAUGUAUAAAAGUAUAAAAAUCCUGUGAAACUGCUUGCACGUUGGAACAUGGAAUUUGGGGUAAUCUAAACCUGUGUUCCCAGGACAUGGUGACUCAAAAUGGAUCCAGAAUAAACAAUCCUUAUUGCCUU